AUGGGGUCAGUAAGAAGAGUUGUGCUGUGCUACUCCUCCUCUGCACUUCCCCACAAACAAAGCAAGAAGAAACAAGGGAUGAUUGUACCAGAGAAGAAAAGGACUCAGAAAAAGGAGGGUAUGGGGAGGAGACAAGGGAAGGCAGAGAGAAGAAGGAAGGACACUCCUGUAGGGGAGGAAAUAUCUUUGUUCCUCCACCGUCUUAGGUUUAGUGGCUGGAACCCACAAAUGGAACUGAUCAAAGACAAAUUGACAAGUGAAAAAAGUUUUAAUUAUGUACUACAUGUAGAACCUGCAAAGUAAAAUGUGGUUCAAGGUGGCCAGAUGAUUGAGGCUUACAUACUAUCUUAUGCUAAACAAAAAAUAAGGGGUUUUGAGCAUCUUUGGUGGGGAGGAGUUAUAGGAGCAUGACUGAGGCACAGGGACUCAAGAGCAGCUGGUCCUUGGGGUCCCAAAUGCACCAGGUUCAGCCACCUGCUGCGAUAAAAUUCAGAGGCGGAGAAAUGAGUGGUGGUGAAAUAAGAAAGGAAUGUAUUCCAGUGAAGCUGUCACCAGGAAGAUAGCCGACUAAGGUCUCAAAGACUGUUUCUCAAGUGUUGAAAAUACCUCUAGGCUUAUACUGCAGGUGGGCAGCAUAGGUCAGGCUGAUCAUUGUCUUGGGGUCAAUCACAUGGGGUCUUGCUGUCGUCAGGGCAGUCCUUGUUGCUUGAGGAAGUAUUUUCAGUUCCCAUCACGGGAUGCUUUGACCUCCUGGCCAGCAAGGACUUUUGCCUGAGUUAAGAGAUAAGCUGGAAAGAAGAACUUAAUCAAUUAGAAUGUACAGACUGAGGUCAAAAUGGAGGGAGUUGAGGUCCUCUUUCAGAAGGAAAUGUAUGAUUAAUAAGGUUUGUUGUGUUAUGCAGAUAACACAGGUGAUAAGAGCUAUCUCUGGAAAUAGCUCUCUUCCUGGUAGAGAGACAUCUUUAUGAAUGGAAAUUUCCUUUUUAAGUAUAAAUUUAUUUUACCAAAGGGAAAAUUUGGGCUGUUUUUAGAUAGUUAAGGGGAAGUAAAGAGCUUUUCCUAGUCUACUUGUGCUCGGUUGUAUUUCACUCAAAGUAACUCAUAGGCCAGCAGGACAUAUUUGAGAGUGGUGUACUCUGGUACCCCUCAUCUGCCAUAGAUGCCCAACCUUGGAGUGAAAAGAAAAUAAGAGUUAAAUUGAAUAGGAGAUAGAAGAAGCUUUGUUGGAGUCUAAAUACUUGAAAUUACUGGAAAAGUGAUGAGAUCAAGCUGAGAUAACAAGGAGGAUUUGACUGGGAUGGUUUGAAAACUAGAGAUUGUGAAUAAAGAUUUUCAAUUUGGAUAUUUAAAGAUCA
rnacentral:lncRNA from 1 species